AGAGUUUGAUCCUGGCUCAGGACGAACGCUGGCGGCACGCUUAACACAUGCAAGUCGAACGAGAGAAGAGGAGCUUGCUUUUCUGAUCUAGUGGCGGACGGGUGAGUAACACGUGAGCAAUCUGCCUUUCAGAGGGGGAUACCGAUUGGAAACGAUCGUUAAUACCGCAUAACAUAAUUGAACCGCAUGAUUUGAUUAUCAAAGAUUUAUCGCUGAAAGAUGAGCUCGCGUCUGAUUAGCUAGUUGGUAAGGUAACGGCUUACCAAGGCGACGAUCAGUAGCCGGACUGAGAGGUUGAUCGGCCACAUUGGGACUGAGACACGGCCCAGACUCCUACGGGAGGCAGCAGUGGGGAAUAUUGCACAAUGGAGGAAACUCUGAUGCAGCGAUGCCGCGUGAGGGAAGAAGGUUUUAGGAUUGUAAACCUCUGUCUUCAGGGACGAAAAAAGACGGUACCUGAGGAGGAAGCUCCGGCUAACUACGUGCCAGCAGCCGCGGUAAUACGUAGGGAGCGAGCGUUGUCCGGAAUUACUGGGUGUAAAGGGAGCGUAGGCGGGAUCGCAAGUCAGACGUGAAAACUAUGGGCUUAACCCAUAAACUGCAUUUGAAACUGUGGUUCUUGAGUGAAGUAGAGGUAAGCGGAAUUCCUAGUGUAGCGGUGAAAUGCGUAGAUAUUAGGAGGAACAUCAGUGGCGAAGGCGGCUUACUGGGCUUUAACUGACGCUGAGGCUCGAAAGCGUGGGGAGCAAACAGGAUUAGAUACCCUGGUAGUCCACGCCGUAAACGAUGAUUACUAGGUGUGGGGGGACUGACCCCUUCCGUGCCGCAGCAAACGCAAUAAGUAAUCCACCUGGGGAGUACGACCGCAAGGUUGAAACUCAAAGGAAUUGACGGGGGCCCGCACAAGCAGUGGAGUAUGUGGAUUAAUUCGAAGCAACGCGAAGAACCUUACCAGGUCUUGACAUCGUAUGCAUAGCUCAGAGAUGAGUGAAAUCUCUUCGGAGACAUAUAGACAGGUGGUGCAUGGUUGUCGUCAGCUCGUGUCGUGAGAUGUUGGGUUAAGUCCCGCAACGAGCGCAACCCUUACUGUUAGUUGCUACGCAAGAGCACUCUAGCAGGACUGCCGUUGACAAAACGGAGGAAGGUGGGGAUGACGUCAAAUCAUCAUGCCCCUUAUGACCUGGGCCUCACACGUACUACAAUGGCUGUCAACAGAGGGAAGCAAAGCCGCGAGGUGGAGCGAACCCCUAAAAGCAGUCUUAGUUCGGAUUGUAGGCUGCAACCCGCCUACAUGAAGUCGGAAUUGCUAGUAAUCGCAGAUCAGCAUGCUGCGGUGAAUACGUUCCCGGGCCUUGUACACACCGCCCGUCACGCCAUGGGAGUCGGUAACACCCGAAGCCUGUAGUCUAACCGCAAGGAGGACGCAGUCGAAGGUGGGAUUGAUGACUGGGGUGAAGUCGUAACAAGGUA
rnacentral:rRNA from 1 species